rnacentral:rRNA from 1 species
AACGAACGCUGGCGGCAGGCCUAACACAUGCAAGUCGAGCGGAUGAGAAGAGCUUGCUCUUCGAUUCAGCGGCGGACGGGUGAGUAAUGCCUAGGAAUCUGCCUGGUAGUGGGGGACAACGUUUCGAAAGGAACGCUAAUACCGCAUACGUCCUACGGGAGAAAGCAGGGGACCUUCGGGCCUUGCGCUAUCAGAUGAGCCUAGGUCGGAUUAGCUAGUUGGUGAGGUAAUGGCUCACCAAGGCGACGAUCCGUAACUGGUCUGAGAGGAUGAUCAGUCACACUGGAACUGAGACACGGUCCAGACUCCUACGGGAGGCAGCAGUGGGGAAUAUUGGACAAUGGGCGAAAGCCUGAUCCAGCCAUGCCGCGUGUGUGAAGAAGGUCUUCGGAUUGUAAGCACUUUAAGUUGGGAGGAAGGGCAGUAAGUUAAUACCUUGCUGUUUUGACGUUACCGACAGAAUAAGCACCGGCUAACUCUGUGCCAGCCGCCGCAGUAAAAC